AUGACCCAGUCUCCAGCCUCCUUGGCUGUGUCUCCAGGGGAAACAGCUACCAUCAGCUGCAAAGCCAGCCAGAGUGUUGGUAGCAACUUAGACUGGUACCAGCAGAAACCAGGACAGGCUCCUAAGCUGCUCAUCUAUGAUACAUCCCGCCAUGCAUCUGGGGUCCCUGAUCGGUUCCGUGGCAGUGAAUCUGGGACAGUCUUCACUCUCACCAUCAGCAACUUCCAGGCUGAAGAUGUGGCAGACUAUUACUGUCAGCAACAUAAUGGCUAUCCUCCCACAAUGUUUCACCCUCAAACACAAACCUCCUACGCAAGCUUGCAGGCCAGUGCCAGUGGGGACAUUAUGAUGACUCAGUCUCCAGCCCCUCUGGCUGCAUCUCCAGGAAAAACGGUCACUAUCAGCCGCAAGUCCAGGCAAAAUGUGGGUACAACGUCAGCCUACUACCAGCAGAAACCAGGACAGCCUCCUAAGCUGCUCAUUUAUUGGGUAUCUAGCCUUGCAUCUUUGGUCCCUGACCAGCUCCGUGGCAGUGGGUCUUGGACAGACUUCACUCUCACCAUCAGAGGCCUCCAGUCUGAAGAUGUGGCAGAUUAUUAA